rnacentral:rRNA from 1 species
AUUGAACGCUGGCGGCAGGCCUAACACAUGCAAGUAGAACGAGUGGCGGACGGGUGAGUAAUGUCUGGGAAACUGCCCGAUGGAGGGGGAUAACUACUGGAAACGGUAGCUAAUACCGCAUACCAUCGGAUGUGCCCAGAUGGGAUGAGCUUGUAGGUGAGGUAACGGCUCACCUAGGCGACGAUCCCUAGCUGGUCUGAGAGGAUGACCAGCCAGGCGGUAACUAGACCGCGGGCCAUACUCCGACGGUGGGGAGCAGUGGGGAAUAUUGCACAAUGGGCGCAAGCCUGAUGCAGCCAUGCCGCGUGUAUGAAGAAUGCCUUCGGGUUGUAAAGUACUUUCAGCGGGGAGGCGUUACCCGCAUAAGAAGCACCGGCUAACUCCGGGCCAGCAGCCGCGGUAAUAC